rnacentral:rRNA from 1 species
UGCCCAAGAGAUCGGGAUAACACCUGGAAGCAGAUGCUAAUACCGGAUAACAACAGAUGAUGCCUAUCAACUGUUUAAAAGAUGGUUCUGCUAUCACUCUUGGAUGGACCUGCGGUGCAUUAGCUAGUUGGUAGGGUAACGGCCUACCAAGGCGAUGAUGCAUAGCCGAGUUGAGAGACUGAUCGGCCACAUUGGGACUGAGACACGGCCCAAACUCCUACGGGAGGCAGCAGAC